AACCACUCCCAGCAGUGCAUCUACUUCCUCCUGCAGCUUCUGGUGCAGCAGAAGGGGAGGACCGCGGACCUCAAGCACAUGAACAGGAUACAGCAACUGGAAGGGAUCACCUCCAGGGCAUGGGAGGCGAAGCUCCACGACCUGAUGAAGGCCUUCGAGGAGAACCUGACGGUGGCCCAGCACACGCAGCUGGUCCUCACGCUCCUGCACAGCC